ensembl:snRNA U2 U2 spliceosomal RNA
AUUGCUUCUCAGCCUCUCAGCUAAGAUAAGAGUACAGUAUUUGUUCUUAUUAGUUUCAUGUCUGAUACAUCCUCUAUCUAAGAACAAUAUAUCAAAUGGAUUUUGGGAGCAGGGAGACAAAAUGGGAGCUUGCCCCAUCCAUUCCAUGCAUCAACCUGGUACUCUAGUAUCUCCAGGGAUGGCACAACAAUU